ACAUUGUUUUUCAGUAACUUGAAAAUCAUAAACGUGAAAUUCGUGAUUAAAGGUAUAUCACAAUUGAAGUUUGAUUUACAAUAACGUUUACACCUCAAGAAAAAUAUUUUUCCAAAUAUGUAUUUAUUAAACUUAAAAUUAAAAUUUACAAAUGUAUUUUGUAUUUUAAUCUGGAAUGGCCACAAAUGCCUUCCUAAUAAUUGUCAUUUCAUUUAUUUCAUUUCUUAGAGAAAUAAAAGUGAAGAAAGUGUAACAAAAUGUUAAAGCCAAAAUCUAUUUUUGAUUAAUAUUUUAUAACAAUAUUGAAACUAGAAAGUGAUACAUAAGAAAUCUCUCUUCAACAAAAAUUCUCACACUGACGUUACGAAACCUUUUUUUUUUUUUUUACAAUACAAUCCAAUUUGAAGAUGAGUGUGGUUCAAGAGGGAUGUAAAAAUUCGCGAAAAAAUCGAACGUGCGAACGUGUAACGGAUAUAGCUAUUUUUUUUUUGUCCGUACAAAGGCGAAGACGGGAAAUCAUGGAUGGCUGACCAUCCAUCCUGCGCGCGCUUCUUCCUCUUCUUUGUCGAAGGAACUAUCGCGCACUCACCACCCCUUUGUUCUUCACCCUUUCCUAAAACCGCCAACCAAGAGGCAAUCUUGACCACAGUCUGGCCAGUGUCAGUUUUUGCGGUUACAAAUGGUUUGUUCCUUCAUCAUCUUCAAGGAUUUCCUGUCUACUUCUUCCGCAAAUGAUCGUUAUUCAUUCCCGCCCCCCCUCUCACACUAUUCCUUAAUUUCUUCUCUUUACGAAAGGCUCUUGGUAAAAUUUAAAAAGAAAGAUAGAAUCACCCACUUUUUUACUCAAUUUGUCGUUCUUCUUAUUCAUUUCUUCUUAUUCAGUUUGUAUUUAUUAUUUACAUAAAUGUUUCUCUUUUAUAUAUUUUUCAUGAUAGGAAACUAAAAGAGCGUCCCACUCUACCCGGAAGUAACUUACACAUACAGUAGAUAUAUAUAACCUCAUUACAGAUGAAAGAGUUCACUGUAUCUGUCAAGGUCAUCUGCUAUAAUUUCAUCAAUCAAAACUCUGUUAACCUCAAUUUUUUACAGGAUGUUCCUUAUUUUGAAUUUAAUGGUAUUCGUUCCAGUCAAUCAGAAGUACUUUAAGAAAACACUUUUGAUUAUUAAUUUUUAUUACUUGAAACUCUUAAAAAACGAUUACUGAGAGAAAGAUUCUAUCUCAAAGAUUUUGUCUAAUAUAUAAUUACUCAUCUAACAAUUUCCGUUGUAUUUGUUUAAUUCCUUGCUCAUUUUUCUAAAAAAAUAAUAGUGCCAUAUAAGUGUAGUAAAAUGACUUCAAAAGGAGCCUCUUUGACUAAUGUGUAGAAAGUUUCACAUUCGUGGAAAGGCAACAGAGCUGAUAUUACACAAUAAUCCAUCGUCAAGUGCAAUUAGCCAACAGUUGGCUGCACGUUAUACCAACGUAUUUACAUUCCAGCCACUGUGGAGUCUAUGUUUGCCGGAUGACGUAAUUUGACGACGAUAACUGGUCAGCUCGAGAUGAAACACACACGCAGGCCACGACCGGCAUUUCCGCUGCACGCAGCUAUAUCGUGCGAGCCUUCACCAAACGGCGCUCGUUUAACCCCUUUGUUCCGUCAGAGUACGCUGCAAAGACACCGCAGCGGCGCCCGAGCGAAACCGAGCACAAAAGUUCACUAUACCGAACCGUUGGUCAUUGUUCUGACACAAUUAUUUCGAAUCAACGUGCAGAAAAUGAUGUAAUAUGAUCUCCAAUAUUUUAAACAGACCUAUUACACUUGACAUUGCUGGAUACAUAAUAAUACAAAAUUUGGAAUCGUUAUAUAUUUUAUGGGAAUCAAGAAUUUAAAACAAGUUUUAAUUGGAAUUCUAUUAGUUUAGAAAAUAUCUUUAUCAAAGAUUUAUUAAAAUAAAGAAAGUGCAACUAAAGUUAUAUAAUGAUAAAUAUAAUAAAUAUUAAUAACUAUAACUAUUCCUAAUUUUCAUUUUCACGUUAAUUAUACGUGACGAAUUCAUACUGCGUUCCCAUGUAUCAAAAGAUGUGCCAUCAUCCUUAUUAGUACUAAAAUAUCAUAACCUUUAUACUACCGAAACAAAUCAAAAAGCCAUUAAUCCAACCGAUAAGCUGACAGCUGAAGUUUUUUUUUUAUAAUCCUAGCGUUAAAUUUGCAAAUUAGACCCGUCUUUCGAAAUUUAAUUAUAAUAUAACAAACUCACUAAUUGAUGGAAGCGCAACGGCAAGAAAUAAUUGCUGCCUAUUACUGCGAUAUGGUAAAAGUAGGAUUCCAGCGCCGGAAAUUACCAGUUACCCUUGAAUCCUUAAUUAACAAAUUUUGAUGGACUCAUCGUGAUUGAUUAUAAUCUUUACUAAUAAUGGAUGCUACCAUUUUUUUUAUUAUUAUUUAUUACUAUUUAAUAAUUGAUACAUAUUUUACUAUUAUUUGGUAAUCUUUAUUUCGAUCAACUAAGAAGCAAUAUAGAGCCGAGGGGUAUCUCUGUAGGCUCAGGGCGGAAAAUAAUGACAACGAUAAGGUUCACCAACCAUCUGCGUUUCGCAUAUGUUUAUAUGACGCGUAUACUUGUGGCAUCCUACAAGCGCUAUCGUUCCAUAACCUUCCAUUGUAAGUACUUCAUUGCCAGAUAUAUACAUACAUGCAUACACACAUCACAUAGCCACCUUCUUCUCUCGGUACGCGCAGCUGCUUGUUGGUGAGACAGAAAGAAAGGGGCGAGUGCACUAGGGUGAAAAAGUACCGAAGAGCAUGAAAAGAGAAUCACUAAAUUUGCUUAUACUCUAUUAGGCUUCACUUAUCAUGAAUUCAAAAAUGUUUCGCCAAUGGAAGGUUUACGAUAUGCCUCUUUUAUCUUUACAUUUGUUAUUUGUACUAGUAUGUGUACACAAGUGUGUUUUGAAAGCGAUCAUUUUGUUAUUAAACCAUGUUUUCUUUUCGUGUCGUAUCGAUGUCCAACAACGAAAGCAGCGAUCACUAUCCCAGUGAAACUUCUUGGAAUUCUUCAUCCAUCACCGAAGUAGGUAUCGAGAUAAGAAAACGAAAGUACUUAUGUAUGUAAGUCCCAUGAAAGUCAGCGGCAAAUCAGGCGUCACUAGUUUACAUUUCAUUAAGCCAUUAAGGGCAGUGAAAUAAUGCGUACAAAAUAUGUAAACGAAAAAUUAUUCCACGUAAACUCACAAUACGCACCGAAUUUGAAGAUCUGAAAAUCCGAAAAUCUGAAGAUCUCAAAAUUUAAAAGUUCGAAAGUUUGAAAAUUUGAAAAUCUGAAAAUAAAAUGUUACCUUAGCGCAAUAUUAAUCCUUAUUGAGACAAAAAAUCUCACAAUUCUUUCUCGUCUCGAUUAAGCGUCUAUUUAACAACCAAUAAAAUCUUGAAUAUAACCAAUAGAAAUUCCUCUUUUUAUCCCUUCCAGUUGUUUCCUGGCCUUAAAAGACCGAUACCAUAGAACACGCAUGCGCAUAUUUACUCAGGCAAGCACGUGGCAACCGUGCUACUACAGGAAACGCGCGUUUUCAUCUUCGCAGCUGUUUUCACGUCGGUGAGAGAAAUUCGUAUAAAACGCAAUCGAUGCACUCUGUAAUUGAGCUUUUAAUUGGCGGAGGCUAGCAAUGCAAUCUUCGCUGCCCGAAUACGAUGACUUUCUGCAGGUGCACAUAUGUUUACGUUCCCGGCUGUAGACAAGUCGGGAAUACGUUAUGAAGCGUUCACUCACGAGGGAAUGCUAGGAACUGAAAGGGGAGUGCCGCCGUUCAGGUGGAAUGUCUUCUGCAUACAGGACGUGUCGCUUAAAAAAAGUGAACACUGCAAAAUUCGUGAAACUAUGCAAACAAAUACUUGCCGGUGAUUUGUCGCUCCACUUGCACGUGACAGGGUUGAUUGAGCAACCAUAUUGACUUUUAUAUACCUUCUUUUAACAGAGCUUUUAAAAUUUAAAGCCUCGUCAUUCAAAUUUAUAGACAGGAUUUUGGAGAAAAAAACCGACUUACAGGCGAUGAAUUUCAAUGUCUAGAAUGUCAUAGACUUCCAUGACAUGUCGAGGUGUCUAAUCGCGGUAUAUCUCUUCACAACGUGUCUUCCAUGAGA